rnacentral:tRNA from 2 species
GGGGCCAUAGCUCAGCUGGGAGAGCGCCUGUUUUGCACGCAGGAGGUCAGGAGUUCGAUCCUCCUUGGCUCCACCA